rnacentral:rRNA from 1 species
CUUGACGUCCUACGUGGAUAACUGUGGUAAUUCUAGAGCUAAUACAUGCACCAAAGCUCCGAUUUUUUGAAGAGCGCAUCUAUUAGAUUAAAACCAAUCGGGUUCGCGCCCGUCAAUUGGUGACUCUGAAUAACUAUAGCUGAUCGCAUGGUCUUGAACCGGCGACGUGUCUAUCAAGUGUCUGCCUUAUCAACUUUCGAUGGUAGUUUAUGUGCCUACCAUGGUUGUAACGGGUAACGGAGAAUAAGGGUUCGACUCCGGAGAGGGAGCCUGAGAAACGGCUACCACAUCCAAGGAAGGCAGCAGGCGCGCAAAUUACCCACUCUCGGCAAGAGGAGGUAGUGACGAAAAAUAACGAGACCGUACUCUUUGAGGCCGGUUAUCGGAAUGGGUACAAUUUAAACCCGUUAACGAGGAUCUAUGAGAGGGCAAGUCUGGUGCCAGCAGCCGCGGUAAUUCCAGCUCUCAAAGUGUAUAUCGUCAUUGCUGCGGUUAAAAAGCUCGUAGUUGGAUCUGCGCCUCAGGACUUGGUCCGCCCACUGGGCGAGAACUAGGCUCCUGGGCUAGUUCUGCUGGUUUUCUCUACGUUGCCUUCAUCGGUCGCGUAGGGUGGCUAGCGAGUUUACUUUGAAAAAAUUAGAGUGCUUCACGCGAGCUUAUGUCUGAAUACUCGUGCAUGGAAUAAUAGAAUAGGAUCUCGGUUCUAUUUUGUUGGUUUUCUGAUCUGAGAUAAUGGUUAAGAGGGACGGACGGGGGCAUUCGUAUCGCUGCGUGAGAGGUGAAAUUCUUGGACCGUAGCGAGACGCCCGACUGCGAAAGCAUUUGCCAAGAAUGUCUUCAUUAAUCAAGAACGAA